UCUGUUCAGUGUUUCAGCAUGAUAACAACCAGAAAGCGGGCCCUGCCCAACCCCACCAAGGCUUAAUGUCUUGAGGUACACCAGAAUUUUCCCUCUUUGUCUCUGUGAAGACCACAAGCGAACGUGCUGGUGUUGCUGGAAGCCAAUCCUGAGCUAUCUGGAAUGCUGGCCUUUGUGAAUGAUAUUAAAACUGAUUUCCUGUAUGCCUAUAGCAAUGAGAUAUGUGCCACUCUGUGGGGAGGGGGUAGGAAGCCAUGCUCUGAUGAUACACAGUCAGAUUCAGAUGUUGAUCCUACAGAGCUGUCUCAGACAAACUCAUCUGCAGAAGCAAAAAACUAUUGCUUACAGACAGGAACUCAAGGUCGUGUUCCCUCAUUGUAUCUGCACAACAACCCUGUGAGG